rnacentral:rRNA from 1 species
CAGUCGUACCGGCGGAUAAUCAGCCUUUCGGGUGCGAUUCUGUGGGGCGUGAGGAGCUUAACCGCCUUCAUGUUUUGCAUAUUCGUGCACAUUUGGUGUACUUGUCCGUGUGGUGGGUUAACAUCAACUUCGGUCGUCAUAAAAUGAUUGAAGGAAUGUAGCUUUGGUCUCGUAUCGAAGUGUUAUAGACUCUGGUAGAUGCGACGAUUGGGAUUGAGGAUUGCAACGGAUACCCCUUUGGGGGCUACCCGUCUGAUCCCUGAAGGUU